AGCGCACCCCUAUCCUUGUAUGCCAGCGCAUAAUGGCGGGAACUAUAAGGAGACUGCCGGUCAUAAACCGGAGGAAGGCGGGGGCGACGUCAAGUCAUCAUGGCCCUUAUGGGUAGGGCUACACACGUGAUACAAUGGGUGGUACAGAGGGUCGCCAAAGCGCGAGCUGGAGCCAAACCCUUAAAACCAUUCUUAGUCCGGAUUGGAGUCUGCAACUCGACUCCAUGAAGUCGGAAUCGCUAGUAAUCGCGAAUCAGAAUGUCGCGGUGAAUACGUUCUCGGGCCUUGUGCACACCGCCCGUCACGUCAUGGAAGUGGGUUGCACCAGAAGUGGCUUGUUUAGCCUUCGGGAAAACGGUCACCACGGUGUGAUUCACAACUGGGACGAAGUCGUAACAAGGUAGCCCUAGGGGAACCUGGGGCUGGAUCA
rnacentral:rRNA from 1 species